rnacentral:rRNA from 1 species
UCCUUCGGAGUCCGAGUUGUAAUUUGUAGAAGAUGCUUUGGGUUGUGGGCUCGGCCUAAGUUCCUUGGAACAGGACGUCAUAGAGGGUGAGAAUCCCGUAUGUGGCCAUGGCCCGCGCCUAUGUAAAGCUCUUUCGACGAGUCGAGUUGUUUGGGAAUGCAGCUCAAAAUGGGUGGUAAAUUUCAUCUAAAGCUAAAUAUGGGCCAGAGACCGAUAGCGCACAAGUAGAGUGAUCGAAAGAUGAAAAGCACUUUGGAAAGAGAGUUAAACAGUACGUGAAAUUGUUGAAAGGGAAGCGCUUGCAACCAGACUUGGGCGCUGCCGAUCACCCCGAGUUCUCUCGGGUGCACUCGACAGCGCACAGGCCAGCAUCGGUUCGGGUGGCUGGAUAAAGGCCGUAGGAAUGUAGCUCUCUUCGGGGAGUGUUAUAGCCCACGGUGCCAUGCAGCCCAGCCGGACCGAGGACCGCGCCUUCGGGCUAGGAUGCUGGCGUAAUGGUUGUAAGCGACCCGUCUUGAAACACGGACCAAGGAGUCUAACAUCUAUGCGAGUGUUUGGGCGUUAAACCCAUACGCGGAAUGAAAGUGAACGUAGGUGAGAACCCCUUUGGGGCGCAUCAUCGACCGAUCCUGAUGUCUUCGGAUGGAUUUGAGUAAGAGCAUAGCUGUUGGGACCCGAAAGAUGGUGAACUAUGCCUGAAUAGGGUGAAGCCAGAGGAAACUCUGGUGGAGGCUCGCAGCGGUUCUGACGUGCAAAUCGAUCGUCAAAUUUGGGCAUAGGGGCGAAAGACUAAU